rnacentral:rRNA from 1 species
AUGCGCAAGACUGCAGCCAAGGCGAAGCAGGUUUCCUCUGCCAGCCCAUGGUAUGGUGCCGACCGUGUGUUGUACCUUGGCCCACUCUCCGGUGAGCCCCCGAGCUACCUCACCGGUGAGUUCCCUGGCGAUUAUGGUUGGGACACUGCCGGACUUUCAGCUGACCCAGAGACCUUCUCCAAGAACCGGGAGUUGGAGGUGAUCCACUGCCGUUGGGCCAUGCUUGGGGCACUUGGUUGUGUCUUCCCUGAGUUGCUCGCCCGCAACAGCGUCAAGUUUGGUGAGGCCGUUUGGUUCAAGGCCGGCUCCCAGAUCUUUAGUGAGGGUGGUCCCGACUACCUCGGCAACCCCAACCUUGGGUACCGCGUUGCCGGGGGCCCACUUGGCGAGAUUGUUGACCUACUAUACCCAGGAGGCAGCUUUGACCCUCUCGGCCUAGCUGACGACCCCGAGGCAUUCGCCGAGCUCAAGGUGAAGGAGAUCAAGAACGGUCGCCUCGCCAUGUUCUCAAUGUUCGGCUUCUUUGUCCAAGCUAUCGUCAUGGGCAAGGGCCCACUUGAGAACCUCGCUGACCACAUCGCUGACCCAGUCAACAACAACGCAUGGGCGUUUGCCACCAACUUUGUCCCCGGCAAGUAA